GGAAUCUUGCGCAAUGGGCGAAAGCCUGACGCAGCGACGCCGUGUGGGUGAUGAAGGCCUUCGGGUCGUAAAGCCCUGUCAGGGGGGACGAAAUCUUGGCUGCCUACUAUGCCGUCGACUUGACGGUACCUCCAAAGGCACCACCGGCUACCUCCGCGCCAGCCGCCGCGGUAAUACGGAGGGUGCAAGCGUUGUUCGGAAUCACUGGGCGUAAAGCGCGUGUAGGCGGCCUUUUAAGUCUGAUGUGAAAGCCCGGGGCUCACCCCCGGAAGUGCAUUGGAUACUGGAAGGCUGGAGUACCGGAGAGGAGGGUGGAAUUCCUGGUGUAGCGGUGAAAUGCGUAGAUAUCAGGAGGAACACCUGUGGCGAAGGCGGCCCUCUGGACGGAUACUGACGCUGAGACGCGAAAGCGUGGGGAGCAAA
rnacentral:rRNA from 1 species